UUCAUUUAAGUACUUAACUAAUCGAUUAUUUUUAUUUUUAGACGAAAUGUAAGGUUACGAUAUCUUACGAUCGAAAAAAUUCUUAUUUUUUAGUUUUGAGUUAGUUAUUUUAAAAGAUAUAAAAUAUAUUUGUUACAUCUACGAAACUAUUUCGAAGUACAUAUAAAAAUAUUCGAGUAAAACUUGAAACUUGCUUAAAAAAAACUAAUACGCAUGCUGUUUCAUAUAUCCUUUCACUUCCCCUGCUUAAGUUUGUGAUACAUAGAAAUCUAAUAGGCGUUUCACAUUCUAAUACAUAGAUAUUUUAGGUCAAAAAUACUGCUUUGAUAAGUGUUCAAAUAUCUUAUCGGAUUAUCCAGUAAAUGUGAUAAUAAAAAUUCUAUUAAUACGUAAAAUCAUCGUCUCUAGUUCUCUUAAGCGCAUUGCGAUUCAGCUGAUUAUACACUUUUAUAACUAUCGUAAAUAGUUGCUAUAUGUAGUUUAAAAAAAAAAUGUUUUCUUUAAGAAGAACAUUGUUAGUUAAAUCUAAAUUAUGUAUUAAAAAAUUACACACUUCCAAUUCAUUAUAUGAUGCUAUUAAAAUAGAUGGAAAUGAAAUUUCGAAACAAAUUAAGGAAGAAUUAAAAAAUGACAUUGAUGCCUGGGUAAAAGCAGGUAAUAAAAAACCUAAGUUAGUAGCUAUUCUUGUAGGAGAGAAUCCUGCUAGCCAAACUUAUGUUCGAAGAAAGAUGGAAUCUGCCAAUAUCAUUAUUCGUUUAGGCAUAGAAAGUUAUACAAUCAAUCUGAAAGAAAAUACGACUCAAAGAAUUUUACUGGAAAAUAUAAAUAGUUUGAAUGAAGAUCCAUCAGUAGAUGGCAUCAUUGUGCAAUUACCAUUACCAAAGGGUCUCAAUGAAAAAGAAGUGUGUCAAGCAAUAUCACCCAAAAAAGAUGUAGAUGGUUUUCAUUUAGAAAAUAUAGGAAAUUUGACAUUGGACAGUAAAGGUAUUAUACCAGCUACUGUCCUAGGUGUAAAAGAAUUGAUAGUUAGAUCAAAUAUAAAAACCUUUGGAAAGCAUGCAGUUGUAAUAGGCAGAUCAAAACAUGUUGGUUUACCAAUAGCUUUAUUGCUACAUGCAGAUGGCAAAGGAGCUACGGGUGGAUUGGAUAUGACAACAACAAUUUGUCAUAUCCAUACUCCUUCUGAUCAGUUAAAACAAAUGACAAGACUUGCUGACUUAGUAGUAGUAGCUGCUGGUGUUCCUGGUUUAGUAACCGAAGAUAUGAUCAAACCUGGAGCUUGUGUAAUUGAUGUUGGAAUUAACAGAGUAAAAGAUAAAACUAGUAAUAGAAAUAUACUUGUUGGAGAUGUGGAUUAUGAAAAUGUAAAAAGAGUUGCACAAUAUAUUACACCUGUACCAGGAGGUGUGGGUCCUAUGACUGUUACAAUGUUGUUAAAAAAUACGUUUACAGUGGCUAUGAAAAAUUCGCAACACAAGAAACAUUUAAAAAAUAUUAUUUCUGAAGUGAGAUAAAUCUUAUCUAUUGUGUUAUUUUACUCAUUUUGUAAAACAACAGAUCAGCAAAUAUAAAAUAGCUUUCUAUUUACAUUUGAAACUUUUUAAAUAAUAAGGAAACAUACGUUCAAAUUUGGAGUAUAAUCGCAACUCCAGCAAGAAUCCAUUUAUUAGGUUUGUCUCGGGUUCUUAAAUUGAACGUCCAGACGUAAGUUGGACCACGAGUUCUUGUUUUGUAAACUGGACAUUCAUACAUAUUUUUAAGAUCUUGCUUAUCUUGUGUUAUUGCUCUAAUAUAUACUACUGGCAUUAAAGGAAACAAUUCUUUUAAACGUGCAUCCGAGAUUACACCUGUUUCAAUAUCCCAACGAGCUCCUUCCAUGUAUAAACUAUUAAUGUAGGAACCUUCACGUGGUGGUGCACUAUAGAAACAAAAGUGAAAAGUAUCUUAUUAUUUAUACAAAAUCCGGACAUUGUAACAAUAUAAAUGAUAUUUCCUUACGUAACUUCAUCCUUUUGUUUUGUAGUUACUUCGCAAUGUAGACACAUUUUAUCUAAAGGCCAUUCAUUUUUACGUGCAGUUUGUUGCAUAAUUGCUGUAAGAAAGGACUGAGGAUUAAAGAAUCCCCCUAGCCAUACUGAUGAAGGAAGCUAUUAGAAAAAUUUGACAUUAAUGUAUAUAGCUGUGUAAAUAAUAAAAUAAAAUA